GACAGAGGUGCCAAGCGUUAGGCGGAAUCACUGGGCUUAAAGCGUGUGUAGGCGGAUUCCUAAGUACCUUGUGAAAUCCCACGGCUCAACCGUGGAACUGCUGGGUAUACUGGUUGUCUUGAGCCAGCUAGGGGCGAGCGGAACAGACGGUGGAGCGGUGAAAUGCGUAGAUAUCGUCUGGAACGCCGAAGGUGAAAACAGCUCGCUGGGGCUGCGCUGACGCUGAGACACGAAAGCCAGGGGAGCGAACGGG
rnacentral:rRNA from 1 species